rnacentral:rRNA from 1 species
AGAGUUGAUCAUGGCUCAGGACGAACGCUGGCGGCGUGCUUCAUACAUGCAAGUCGAACGAUAAGGUCUCUUCGGAGAUACAUAAGUGGCGGACGGGUGAGUAAUAUGUAGAGAAUCUGCCCUAGAGAGGGGGACAACAGAGGGAAACUUCUGCUAAUACCCCAUAUGAGCGUAGUUGAAAUGCUAUUCUUGAAAACUCCGGUGCUCUGGGAUGAGUCUGCAUCUGAUUAGCUAGUUGGGGGUGCAAUGGACCACCAAGGCGACGAUCAGUAGCUGGUUUGAGAGGAUGAUCAGCCACAAUGGGACUGAGACACGGCCCAUACUCCUACGGGAGGCAGCAGUAGGGAAUUUUGCGCAAUGGGGAAACCCUGACGCAGCAACGCCGCGUGACCGAUGAAGCCCUUCGGGGUGUAAAGGUCUGUCAGUGGGGACGAAACUUGACGGUACCCACAGAGGAAGCAUCGGCUAACUCCGUGCCAGCCGCGGC